GAUGAACGCUGGCGGCGUGCUUAACACAUGCAAGUCGAACGGUAAGGCCCUACCUUUCUCUGCUGGUUCAGUGGCGAACGGGUGAGUAACACGUGAGUAAUCUGCCCCUGACUUUGGGAUAAGCUCUGGAAACUGCGGCUAAUACUGGAUACGAGCUCCUACGGCAUCGUCAGCAUCGGAAAAUUAUGGCGGUUGGGGAUGGGCUCGCGGCCUAUCAGCUUGUUGGUGGGGUAGUGGCUUACCAAGGCUUUGACGGGUAGCCGGCCUGAGAGGGUGACCGGCCACAGUGGGACUGAGAUACGGCCCAGACUCCUACGGGAGGCAGCAGUGGGGAAUAUUGCACAAUGGGCGGAAGCCUGAUGCAGCAACGCCGCGUGCGGGAUGACGGCCUUCGGGUUGUAAACCGCUUUCGCCUGGGACGAAGCGUGAGUGACGGUAAUUGGUAAAGAAGCACCGGCUAACUACGUG
rnacentral:rRNA from 1 species